AAUAUCCUGGUGAUCAUCAUUGGAAUUUGUUGUCAUAGCUGCCGCUUGAGGUGGCUGCCGGGUUGCCGCCGAGCCGGUUUGUAGACCACCGCGGUGUCGGUUCAGCCGUUCCUCCUUCGGUUCGUGUUGCUUUGGUUAUUGCGAAAGUGGCUGGGAGCUGAGGUUUUGGUUGCCGUCAGUUCGGGUUGUGCCGGAAAGGACUCCAUGAGACGUUUGGAUUAUGGAAUUGCAUUUUGAGGUAGGGGCGCUUUCCAAAAACUAUGUUUUGUGUAUUGGAAUUAUUACAUAUGGAUACUGGUGUGAGAUAUUG